rnacentral:rRNA from 1 species
CCUACGGGUGGCAGCAGUGGGGAAUAUUGCACAAUGGGCGAAACCCUGAUGCAGCGACGCCGCGUGAGUGAAGAAGUAUUUCGGUAUGUAAAGCUCUAUUAGCAGGGAAGAAAAUGACGGUACCUGAUUAAGAAGCUCCGUCUAACUACGUGCCAGCAGCCGCGGUAAUACGUAGGGGGCAGGCGUUAUCCGGAUUUACUGGGUGUAAAGGGAGCGUAGACGGCAGGACAAGUCUGGAGUGAAAUGCCGGGGCUUAACCACGGAACUGCGUUGGAAACUGUGCAGCUAGAGUGCAGGAGAGGUAAGUGGAAUUCGUGGUGUAGCGGUGAAAUGCGUAGAUAUUAGGAGGAACACCGGUGGCGAAGGCAGCAUACGGGAGUGUAACUGACGUUGAGGCUCGAAGGCGUGGGGAGCGAACAGGAUUAGAUACCCCAGUAGUC